rnacentral:rRNA from 1 species
UACGGGGGGAGCAAGCGUUGUUCGGAUUUACUGGGCGUAAAGGGCGCGUAGGCGGCCUUCUAAGUCGAACGUGAAAUCCCCGGGCUCAACCCGGGAACUGCGUCCGAUACUGGAAGGCUUGAAUCCGGGAGAGGGAUGCGGAAUUCCAGGUGUAGCGGUGAAAUGCGUAGAUAUCUGGAGGAACACCGGUGGCGAAGGCGGCAUCCUGGACCGGUAUUGACGCUGAGGCGCGAAAGCUAGGGGAGCAAACAGG